rnacentral:sRNA from 2 species
GUCAACUUCUGAUAUUUUGUAAUUAUCUGUGAAUUUCUUCAUCAUACAUGCACCAUUUUCUGAUAAUUUUGUUAACUCAAAGAAAAAUGAUUGAUUACUCAAAAAUAGAAACAUUCCUGCUGAAGAUAGUUUUCAUAUAUAUAUCAAGAGUCACUUUUCUGAGUUGAACCCUCUGCUAUAUUUCACCCAUUCUCAGAGUACAUAGCUGCUUUCCCAUUUCUCUCACUGCAAACCUUCUUCAUUAUCUUUCUUUCUUUUUUCAUUUUCUUUAUACUCACCUGCAAUGUGCUUGUCUAUUUGCUGUAAUGAAUCUCUUUCCAUAUCCUUCUUCUUUCAUCACCACAACAUUGUCAGGGCACCACAUCUUGGCAUUCUUAUGAACAUCAUGAAGCAAGUUUUAAUGGGAAUAUGGCUUGACAUAUUUAUGCCUAUAAAUAUGGGUACA